rnacentral:misc_RNA from 1 species
AGGAUCAGUGGUUUUGAUAUGGCACCUCCCACCAGUGCAUUGCUAUCUGGCGCUACUGAUGUUGCAGGUCAAGUUCCUGGGACCACUAACCCAUCAAUACCUGGAAUGUUUUCUAACAUGUUUCCUCUAGCAGCAGGCCAGUUUGGAGCUCUCCCUAUUAUGCCAGUCCAGGCAAUGACACAGCAGGCUACCAGACAUGCUCGGCGAGUUUAUGUUGGUGGACUUCCGCCUACUGCAAAUGAACAGUCGGUUGCUACCUUCUUUAGUCAUGUCAUGUAUGCAAUCGGAGGAAAUACUGCUGGUCCAGGGGAUGCUGUUGUCAACGUUUAUAUAAACCAUGAGAAGAAGUUUGCCUUUGUUGAAAUGAGAUCUGUUGAGGAAGCUAGU